rnacentral:rRNA from 1 species
UUUGAUCCUGGCUCAGGACGAACGCUGGCGGCGUGCCUAAUACAUGCAAGUCGAGCGGACAGAUGGGAGCUUGCUCCCUGAUGUUAGCGGCGGACGGGUGAGUAACACGUGGGUAACCUGCCUGUAAGACUGGGAUAACUCCGGGAAACCGGGGCUAAUACCGGAUGCUUGUUUGAACCGCAUGGUUCAAACAUAAAAGGUGGCUUCGGCUACCACUUACAGAUGGACCCGCGGCGCAUUAGCUAGUUGGUGAGGUAAYGGCUCACCAAGGCAACGAUGCGUAGCCGACCUGAGAGGGUGAUCGGCCACACUGGGACUGAGACACGGCCCAGACUCCUACGGGAGGCAGCAGUAGGGAAUCUUCCGCAAUGGACGAAAGUCUGACGGAGCAACGCCGCGUGAGUGAUGAAGGUUUUUGGAUCGUAAAGCUCUGUUGUUAGGGAAGAACAAGUACCGUUCGAAUAGGGCGGUACCUUGACGGUACCUAACCA